AACAGCGUCGUUCUAACACUGCGUUUCCGUUCUCUCCUCUCCCAUUUCGCCCCCACAUUCUCUCUCUCUCUCUCUCUCUCUCUCUCUCUCUCUCUUCCAUCUUCUUCUUCUUCUUCACCCUUCUGUCACGAGAAAGCUGCAGAUCCAACCCAAAGCAGUCCAUCUUCGUCUUCGAGGAAGCCGCAGCGACACCCACGACCGCUUGGAAUCUUCUUCUUCUCCCUUUGUCUUCGAGAAAGCCGCAGAUUCAGCCACGAACACACGACACUUUCAUCGCUCUGUCUCACGAAAACAACCACAAACGCCGCUGAACCCACGAUGGGUCUCUUCUCGUUGUCGCAUCCACGAAGCCAUAGAGCCACACCUACGAAUCGACGAAGCCCCUUUUUUCUUCUUCUCCACCCAGAUCUGAAACAAACUUCCCACAGAGGCCCGAAACCCUAACCCACGAGCUAACCGGCACCCUUUAUAAGUUCAAAACUUCAAACACACUCCAUACACUCACAGCAGCGACACAGUUGUCGGAGUGAACAGAGAAGCUAACGCACGAAGACAGGUUCUCCCAGGUUUUACAGCUAGUACAAUUAGCUUUCCAUUGGAGGUGGCGAGGAAAAGGCUAGAGGGUAAGAGCUCUAGAGGGUAAGUGCUCACCCCACAUGGCAACAGCACUUUCGGAAGUCAUCAAGGAGAAAGGCCUGAUGGGACUCUACAGACGAUGGGGAGCUAGUUGUUUAAAGGUCAUGCCAUCAAAUCUUGGUUUUUUUCUCAAGGGAAGUUCAUGGAUCUGGACGAGGGGCUCCCCCAUGGGCCCAUGCUAUCUGGCAUCUACAGCAUUGUUGAGUUCCAACCAAAAAUUUUGGAAUGUUGUGUAUUAUAUAACUAUUUGGAAUGUUGUGUAUUAUGGAACUAUUUGGAAUAUUGUUGUGUACUAUGAGAAUGUGUUACUGGACACAGGUUGAUUUAUAGAACCACAAAAAAGCUUCUUUCAUUUGUAGAAA